AUAUAUACAGGCACAAGUGAACCCUAAUCGCAGUGACCCAACGGUCUAAUAGCAUACGCGUCCGCUCCAACAACAUCAGACAAGGAUCGUUUCCCAUCUAAUACAUACUCCAGUAGCGUACAAAGCUGCCAUUUUACACAACUCUUAAUCAGCAGUUGAGGUGGUGAAGAGCUUUCCAAUACGCAGUUAAGUCUCGUUCCCGCCUGCAUUGACCUCUACCGUGCAAGCAAAACGGAAACGGUUAUAAAUGUGCAGUAACAACAGCAUACACAAGCACCCAUGCAUACAUACAAAAAACCCCAUCUUCAACAAUUGCAGCAUGUGAUAAAAAUAAUUGCCCGCAACAAAAAAAUACCCACCGCGGGCAAGCCAGGGGCGUCCAGGCUGAUAAGCGCGGAGUAAAAGUCACCCCAGCAAAGUUGCAAUCGCCUUCACCACCGUACAGUGUAGCUAUCGGGCUAAACCAGUCGUAACCAGCGCUCCAUCGAUGGAAUGGAUCCACCAGGGCUCGGUACGGACGUGCCAAACAACAUAAACAACUGGGCAGCAUCCACCAGCCGGCCGGUACCGCACCGACUUACCCCCCACAUGGGACUCUGCUACUUAGAACCGUACGGCGGCUACUGACGUCAAUCGGUCGGUCGGGACCCACGGUUCACCGUGUGAUAGUGGAUUGGCCCCGGCCCCAAAAGCGUGCACUGGAAACGGGGGCGGGCCAUUCCGGCUGAGGAUGGAGCAGAGCCUUCACCACUAGGUAAACGCGUGGGAAAAUCAACCAAUAAGCUGGAGGAUUCACGCAGAGGGUCGGGAGCGGAGCGAAGGAUCGAGUUCGUUCGGGUCGAAAUAAUAAGCUGAUAGUGGUAUGUGGCAGACAAGCGGACCAGGCCGUGUGGCUAGAGCGGCAACGCAAUAGAGCUCGCUCGGAGCAUUACGCUAAACGGGCCCCUGAUAAGCGCCCGCAUGGAGGUACAUCCAGCCACCAGGUGAUCCCAGGGGACAGUGGGUAAGGCAAGGAAGGUUCCUUGCCAGCUUGUUUGCAAAACCACUCCUGCUCCGGUUUUCCAACGCGUACAGAGUGGAGAAUGAUCGACACAAAACACCCGAGCUCUCGCUGCCCGGGUUCACAUUCCUUCGAUGGCCUACGCGAGGUCGUCGGUUCGCGAGUGGCGAAAGGUGAUGCAGCUGAUAUGUAGAGGCGGGUGGUGGAUGGCCACCCAAUGUCCGGCUAGUAGCGGCGGAGUGCACGAGACGCCGCCGAUGAGUCGACCACCGAUGCGCGGGGGAAAGUGGUCCGCUCAAUCGGUACUGGGGCUCGAGCAGUGGUAGCAGCUUGUGAGCAGUGAUAGCACCAUCGUCGUCGUCGUCGUUGAGCCCUACAUUGCUCCCGUCGAGGGUGAAGAUCCUUGUGCGGUGAUGAUCACGCGUUCAGCACGUUCCCGGAGCGUGCUCGAUGACACUGAGCGCAGAGACAGAGCGCUUGCUGGAGGCCCCCCAACCGACUGACCGACCGAUAGUGGAGCGUACCGUGUGGAGAUGAAUGCGAAUCUUACUACCAAAUUGUAUUUAGCUUGCGGGCAAAUUUGAGCUGGUACAGCGACGGGUGUCUGUGUGUACUUGACCCCGGACGCAAUGUUCCAAAAUAUGGAGUACAAGCGAUACGACGGGUGUUGAGAAUUGUUGUGAAAUAUAUUUUUAUUGGAAAAAUUCAA